AGCAGCCGCGGUAAUUCCAGCUCCAAUAGCGUAUAUUAAAGUUGUUGCAGUUAAAAAGCUCGUAGUUGAAUUUCGGGACCAAUCUGCCGGUCGUGCCUCCGGUACGCACUGGUUUUAUUGGUUUCUCCCUUCUGACGAACCAUGAUGUCAUUAAUUUGGUGUCAUGGGGAAUCAGGACUGUUACUUUGAAAAAAUUAGAGUGUUUAUAGCAGGCUCACGCUUGAAUACAUUAGCAUGGAAUAAUGAAAUAGGACGUUUGACCCUAUUUUUGUUGGUUUUCUAGGAUCGACGUAAUGAUUAAUAGGGAUAGUUGGGGGCAUUAGUAUUCAAUUGUCAGAGGUGAGAUUCUUGGAUUUAUUGAAGACUAACUACUGCGAAAGCAUUUUGCCAAGGAUGUUUUCAUUAAUCAAGAACGAAAGUUAGGGGAUCGAAGACGAUCAGAUACCGUCGUAGUCUUAACCAUAAACUAUGCCGACUAGGGAUCGGAUGAUGUUAAUUUUUUUCAAUGACUCAUUCGGCG
rnacentral:rRNA from 1 species